rnacentral:lncRNA from 1 species
GGUCCUCAGAUCCUCAAUCAGCUCUACAGCUGCACCAUCGAGAGCAUCCUGACUGGUUGCAUCACUGCCUGGUAUGGCAACUGCUCAGCCUCUGACCGCAAGGCACUACAGAGGGUAAUGCAUACGGCCCAGUACAUCACUGGGGCUAAGCUGCCUGCCAUCCAGGACCUCUAUACCAGGCGGUGUCAGAGGAAGGCCCUAAAAAUUGUCAAAGACUCCAGCCACCCCAGUCAUAUAGAUUGUUCUCUCUGCUACCACACGGCAAGCGGUACCGGAGCGCCAAGUCUAGGUCCAAAAGACUUCUUAACAACUUCUACCCCCAAACAAUAAGACUCCUGAACAGCUAAUGAAUUGGCUACCCAGACUAUUUGCAAUGCCCCCCCCCCCACACUGCUGCUACUCUCUGUUUAUUAUCUGUGCAUAGUCACUUCAACUCUACCUACAUGUACAUAUUACCUCAAUUAACCGGUAACCCCACACAUUGACUCUGUACCGGUACCCCCUGUAUAUAGUCUCCACAUUGACUCUGUACCGGUACCCCCUGUAUAUAGCCUCCACAUUGACUCUGUACCGGUACCCCCUGUAUAUAGCUUCCACAUUGACUCUGUACCAGUAACCCCUGUAUAUAGCCUCCACAUUGACUCUGUACCGGUACCCCCUGUAUAUAGCCUCCACAUUGACUCUGUACCGGUACCCCCCUGUAUAUAGUCUCCACAUUGACUCUGUACCGGUACCCCCUGUAUAUAGCCUCCACAUUGACUCUGUACCGGUACCCCCUGUAUAUUGCCUCCACAUUGACUCUGUACCGGUAUCCCCUGUAUAUAGCCUCCACAUUGACUCUGUACCGGUACCCCCUGUAUAUAGCCUCCACAUUGACUCUGUACCGGGACCCCCUGUAUAUAGCCUCCACAUUGACUCUGUACCGGUACCCCCUGUAUAUAGCCUCCACAUUGACUCUGUACCGGUACCCCCUGUAUAUAGCCUCCACAUUGACUCUGUACCGGUACCCCCUGUAUAUAGCUUCCACAUUUACUCUGUACCGUAAUACACUGUAUAUAGCCUCCACAUUGACUCUGUACCGGUACCCCCUGUAUAUAGCCUCCACAUUGACUCUGUACCGGUACCCCCUGUAUAUAGCCUCCACAUUGACUCUGUACCGUAAUACCCUGUAUAUAGCCUCCACAUUGACUCUGUACAGGUACCCCCUGUAUAUAGCCUCCACAUUGACUCUGUACCGUAAUACCCUGUAUAUAGCCUCACUACUGUUAUUUUACCUCUGCUCUUUAAUUAUUUGUUACUGUUAUUUUUUAUUUUUUAUUAAACAGCAUUGUUAGUUAAGGGCUUGUAAAUAAGCAUUUCACUGUAAGAUCUACACCUGUUUUAUGUGGCACAUGUGACAAAUACAAUUUCAUUUGAGGUGGUACCAAUACCCUGUAUCUCUCUGAGGCUGUAAUACUGUUGAUGACCACUAGGUGGUGCCAAUACCCUGUAUCUCUCUGAGGCUGUAAUACUGUUGAUGACCACCAGGUGGUGCCAACACCCUGUAUCUCUCUGAGGAGGCUGUAAUACUGUUGAUGACCACUAGGUGGUGGCAAUACCCUGUAUCUCUCUGAGGCUGUAAUACUGUUGAUGACCACUAG